CGGGCGGCCCCGCGGUGCAUUGCUGUUGCAUUGCACGUGUGAGGCGGGUGCAGUGCCUCGGCAGUGCA
rnacentral:pre_miRNA from 1 species